rnacentral:tRNA from 1 species
GCACAGAUAGCUCAGUUGGUAGAGCACCUGACUACGGAUUCAGGGAGCCUGGGUUUAAAUCCUUUUUUUCA